rnacentral:rRNA from 1 species
AGAGUUUGAUCCUGGCUCAGAGUGAACGCUGGCGGCAGGCCUAACACAUGCAAGUCGAACGGCAGCACAGCAGUAGCAAUACUGUGGGUGGCGAGUGGCGGACGGGUGAGGAAUGCGUCGGAAUCUGCCUAUUUGUGGGGGAUAACGUAGGGAAACUUACGCUAAUACCGCAUACGACCUACGGGUGAAAGUGGGGGACCUUCGGGCCUCACGCAGAUAGAUGAGCCGACGCCGGAUUAGCUAGUUGGCGGGGUAAAGGCCCACCAAGGCGACGAUCCGUAGCUGGUCUGAGAGGAUGAUCAGCCACACUGGGACUGAGACACGGCCCAGACUCCUACGGGAGGCAGCAGUGGGGAAUAUUGGACAAUGGGCGCAAGCCUGAUCCAGCCAUGCCGCGUGUGUGAAGAAGGCCUUCGGGUUGUAAAGCACUUCUGUCCGGAAAGAAAUCCUUUCGAUUAAUACUCGGGAGGGAUGACGGUACCGA